GUGAGGGAUAUUGGUCAAUGGGGGGAACCCUGAACCAGCCAUGCCGCGUGAGGGAAUGAGGCCCUACGGGUCGUGAACCUCUUUUAUUCGGGGACAACGGCGGCGUCGGGAACGCCGCGUGAGGGUACCGAAGGAAUAAGCGUCGGCUAACUCCGUGCCAGCAGCCGCGGUAAUACGGAGGACGCGAGCGUUAUCCGGAUUCAUUGGGUUUAAAGGGUGCGCAGGCGGCUCGGCAAGUCAGCGGUGAAAGCCCGGGGCCCAACCCCGGAAGUGCCGUUGAUACUGUCGGGCUGGAAUGCGGUCGAGGCGGGCGGAACGUGGCGUGUAGCGGUGAAAUGCGUAGAUAUGCCACAGAACGCCGAUAGCGGAGGCAGCUCGCCAGGCCUGCAUUGACGCUCGGGCACGAAAGCGUGGGGAUCGAACAGG
rnacentral:rRNA from 1 species